GAUUUUGGGCCAUUUUAUCACAGCCCAAAUAAUUUCCCCCCAGACUAGUUCAAGAUUCGGCUCAAAUUGUCCGAAUAACCUAAGACAUUUCAUUUCACUUCCUCACCCUGUUCAUCUUCUCUUCAUCCUCUCUCCAUCUGAACCCUAAUCCGCCGCCCUAAAAGCUCACCAUCCCUACCCGCCUCAAAAUCACAUCAUAGAAUCUCCGUCCUCUCCUCAUGCCAAAUCCAUAACCUGUUCCCUUCAAAUCGCCCUUAAACUCUUCGAAUCUGAGAUCGAAGGUCAGGCACUUGAACCUUAAACUACCCAAAUCCACUCAAAUUUGUACCCCACAGUCACUACUCCAGAUUAUUUGCCCAAAUGAAUCUAGAUUUUACCGAGUUUGGGAUCUAGGGCUAAAUCUGAUUUCAAAACUGGAGUCGAGUUGAAGUCUGUUGUUCGUCAAGGUUCGAAGCUCGCCUUGACAGGGCACUCUUGUUUGAGGGAGUUCGUUAAGACGAGUUUCUCACCCUUGAAGAGCAGUUCGAGUUGGCCAGUAGAUUCGCCUCUAUUUUCAUUUGUUGUGGUUAGUCAUUUAGUUUUCUUUCUUUUCUUUUGGUUGCGUUGUCCGUAUUUGCCCUCUCCGGUGUUCUUCUUCUCUCUUUCUUUUCUUAUUCAAAUGUGGUUGCAUGAUAGGCCUUUGAAUCCGUAUGGUUAUACAUUGGUCAUUUCUAAAUUCCUCUGAUUAAUCUUUGUUACAAUUCCGUGGUUUAGUUUGAAUUGGCCCAUUAGGUUUGUUUUAAUUCUAUUGAAUCGGAUUGUGGUUGUUUUCUUCUUCUUCCAAACUCGUUGUGUGUUGGUCUUUGUUUAGCUUGGGGCCUGCAUUACAUACAGACGGGCCCAUUAGUUGAAGCCUAGAAGAUUGUUGGGAUAAUUUUCAGAGGGUAAAUAAUAUGAGUUUAAAUGGUAAUGUAGGGAGUUUGGGUAAGGGUAAUCUUUUGUAACUGCCUGUGAAGCUUCUAGGAAGCAGGGUUGGGGGCUGUUUUGAAAUUUUGAUAAUUAAGAUAGAGGUAUCUGAGCUAGAAUGAGAAUUGAAAAAGGUUUUAGGUGCAAAAUUAAAUCAUUAGGGCUGCCCAAAAUGCCUUGCCUAUAAAGGCGCUCUACCUUGGUAUUCAAGGCAGAGGGGAGGAGAUAAAAAUUGGGCAAAAACUGAAACAGCUAAAAAACUCUUGAAACCACAUUGACUUUCUUGCAUUUCUUUGGGGAAAAUUGCUCAAAUCUUGCUCAGUUUUGCUUGUUUGAUCCUCUUCAUUAGUUUGAACUUCUGAAAACUUCGAAAUUCUGCACUUGGGUUGGAAAAAUGGUUUAAUUUUGGGGAUUCAAAGAUCUGGUUGGAACUGCUGGUUUGGGUUACUGCUUAUUUGUUGUUUUAGCUGGUUCCUCAAGGCUUAAUUGGUUGAUUCCAACAUUGUUCCAUUGCUUUUCUGCUGUUGCUAUCUACUGACUCUGCACUUCUUUUGUUUCCCUUUAUUUCUAGGUAUUUUCAGCACUAUGGAUAUCACUUAGGUGUAAUCUGAAGUUUGGGAUUUAGAAAUAUGAAAAGCUGGUGUUAUUUGUAGUUCGAAUCUCAUUCCUUCUUCUUUCAAUCUCGUAAUGGCUGUAAUAUUUAGCUCUUGAACUGUUUUGACUAGUACAUUGAUCAUGGAUAGGGUGAGACUGAAGUUUUAAAGUGAUCUGUUCCUUCUUUUCAGUUAUCAAGUUUGUUCGAAUUUGGUUUAGGUGAAGGAAUUGUUUUGGGUAUAUUUGCAGUAACACUUAGGCCAAUAUUGGAUUGUCUGAUGUUGUUUGAAUGUUCUGUGAUUAGACUUGGUUGCUUUAAGAUCAUGGCUAUCCAAUGUCAAUCUUACAGGUUCUGUUAAUAUGAAACCUAGCUGAAGUUUAAAUUCCCAUGUCAUUACUUCAAGUUAACUGGAA
rnacentral:lncRNA from 1 species